AUGGUUAAGUUAGAAAGGGCGCACGGUGAAUGCCUUGGCACUAGGAGCCGAUGAAGGACGGGACUAACACCGAUAUGCUUCGGGGAGCUGUAAGUGAGCUUUGAUCCGGAGAUUUCCGAAUGGGGAAACCCACUGUUCGUAAUGGAACAGUAUCUUUAUCUGAAUACAUAGGAUAUUGAAGGCAGACCCGGGGAACUGAAACAUCUAAGUACCCGGAGGAAGAGAAAGCAAAUGCGAUUUCCUGAGUAGCGGCGAGCGAAACGGAAUUAGCCCAAACCAAGAGGCUUGCCUCUUGGGGUUGUAGGACACUCUAUACGGAGUUACAAAGGAACGAAGUAAAUGAAGCGACCUGGAAAGGUCCGUCGAAGAAGGUAACAACCCUGUAGUUGAAACUUCGUUCCCUCUUGAGUGGAUCCUGAGUACGGCGGAACACGUGAAAUUCCGUCGGAAGCUGGGAGGACCAUCUCCCAAGGCUAAAUACUACCUAGUGACCGAUAGUGAACCAGUACCGUGAGGGAAAGGUGAAAAGCACCCCGGAAGGGGAGUGAAAGAGAUCCUGAAACCGUGUGCCUACAAGUAGUCAGAGCCCGUUAACGGGUGAUGGCGUGCCUUUUGUAGAAUGAACCGGCGAGUUACGAUCCCAUGCAAGGUUAAGCUGAUAAGGCGGAGCCGUAGCGAAAGCGAGUCUGAAUAGGGCGUUUAGUAUGUGGUUGUAGACCCGAAACCAGGUGAUCUACCCAUGUCCAGGGUGAAGUUCAGGUAACACUGAAUGGAGGCCCGAACCCACGCACGUUGAAAAGUGCGGGGAUGAGGUGUGGGUAGCGGAGAAAUUCCAAUCGAACCUGGAGAUAGCUGGUUCUCUCCGAAAUAGCUUUAGGGCUAGCCUCAUGUUGUGAGAGUCUUGGAGGUAGAGCACUGAUUGGACUAGGGGCCCCCAACGGGUUACCGAAUUCAGUCAAACUCCGAAUGCCAAAGACUUAUCCAUGGGAGUCAGACUGCGAGUGAUAAGAUCCGUAGUCAAAAGGGAAACAGCCCAGACCACCAGCUAAGGUCCCCAAGUAUACGUUAAGUGGAAAAGGAUGUGGAGUUGCUUAGACAACCAGGAUGUUGGCUUAGAAGCAGCCACCAUUUAAAGAGUGCGUAAUAGCUCACUGGUCGAGUGACUCUGCGCCGAAAAUGUACCGGGGCUAAACGUAUCACCGAAGCUGUGGAUUGACAUCUUAGAUGUCAGUGGUAGGAGAGCGUUCUAAGUGCAGCGAAGUCAGACCGUAAGGACUGGUGGAGCGCUUAGAAGUGAGAAUGCCGGUAUGAGUAGCGAAAGACAAGUGAGAAUCUUGUCCACCGAAUGCCUAAGGUUUCCUGAGGAAGGCUCGUCCGCUCAGGGUUAGUCGGGACCUAAGCCGAGGCUGAAAAGCGUAGGCGAUGGCCAACAGGUUGAUAUUCCUGUACCACCUCCCCGCCGUUUGAGUAAUGGGGGGACGCAGUAGGAUAGGGUAAGCGCGCUGCUGGAUAUGCGCGUUCAAGCAGUUAGGCUGAUGAGUAGGCAAAUCCGCUCAUCAUAAAGGCUGAGCUGUGAUGACGAGGGAAUUAUAGUACCGAAGUUCCUGAUUCCACACUGCCAAGAAAAGCCUCUAGCGAGGCGGGAGGUGCCCGUACCGCAAACCGACACAGGUAGGCGAGGAGAGAAUCCUAAGGUGAUCGAGAGAACUCUCGUUAAGGAACUCGGCAAAAUGACCCCGUAACUUCGGGAGAAGGGGUGCUCUGGUAGGGUGUAUAGCCCGAGAGAGCCGCAGUGAAUAGGCCCAGGCGACUGUUUAGCAAAAACACAGGUCUCUGCGAAGCCGCAAGGCGAAGUAUAGGGGCUGACGCCUGCCCGGUGCUGGAAGGUUAAGAGGAGGGGUUAUCCUUUGGGAGAAGCUCUGAAUCGAAGCCCCAGUAAACGGCGGCCGUAACUAUAACGGUCCUAAGGUAGCGAAAUUCCUUGUCGGGUAAGUUCCGACCCGCACGAAAGGCGUAACGAUCUGGGCACUGUCUCAACGAGAGACUCGGUGAAAUUAUAGUACCUGUGAAGAUGCAGGUUACCCGCGACAGGACGGAAAGACCCCGUGGAGCUUUACUGUAGCCUGAUAUUGAAUUUUGGUACAGCUUGUACAGGAUAGGUAGGAGCCUGAGAAGCCGGAGCGCUAGCUUCGGUGGAGGCGUCGGUGGGAUACUACCCUGGCUGUAUUGAAAUUCUAACCCGCGGCCCUGAUCGGGCCGGGAGACAGUGUCAGGUGGGCAGUUUGACUGGGGCGGUCGCCUCCUAAAAUGUAACGGAGGCGCCCAAAGGUUCCCUCAGAAUGGUUGGAAAUCAUUCGUAGAGUGUAAAGGCACAAGGGAGCUUGACUGCGAGACCUACAAGUCGAGCAGGGACGAAAGUCGGGCUUAGUGAUCCGGUGGUUCCGCAUGGAAGGGCCAUCGCUCAACGGAUAAAAGCUACCCCGGGGAUAACAGGCUUAUCUCCCCCAAGAGUCCACAUCGACGGGGAGGUUUGGCACCUCGAUGUCGGCUCAUCGCAUCCUGGGGCUGUAGUCGGUCCCAAGGGUUGGGCUGUUCGCCCAUUAAAGCGGUACGCGAGCUGGGUUCAGAACGUCGUGAGACAGUUCGGUCCCUAUCCGUCGUGGGCGUAGGAAAUUUGAGAGGAGCUGUCCUUAGUACGAGAGGACCGGGAUGGACACACCGCUGGUGUACCAGUUGUCUUGCCAAAGGCAUCGCUGGGUAGCUAUGUGUGGACGGGAUAAGUGCUGAAAGCAUCUAAGCAUGAAGCCCCCCUCAAGAUGAGAUUUCCCAUAGCGCAAGCUAGUAAGAUCCCUGAAAGAUGAUCAGGUUGAUAGGUCAGAGGUGGAAGCGUGGCGACAUGUGUAGCUGACUGAUACUAAUCGAUCGAGGACUUAACCAAA
rnacentral:rRNA from 1 species